AAAUAAAUAAAAUAGGUUCCUUAUCUCUAUGUGAUUUAUAUCCUAUGUCAAGCAUUAAAUACCUCAGAAGAAAAACCCUACUUAUUUUUAUCUUUAGCAGGCAAUACAGAGGCAGGUUCAUUGUGCUUAUAAAAGAUUAGAUAAAGAGUUAGAUGUAAGAGCAAUUGAAUAUUUUUCACAUUUUAAAAAAAUUUUAAGUCUUAGUCUCUCCAAAAAAACGUUGUAAAAGAGACAGCCUUGAUAAUCGGAUAGUCCAAGUGCUCCCUCGUAAGUUUCAGACCUCUUUGCAGUUGUCAGGGACAGACAAAUAGUUUCAUCCAGUAACAAAUGAGUAGAUGUGACACGUGUCACUUGUGAGCCAAGGCAUUUAGGAGACCAUGCAUAAGCCUCCAACUUUCUCUCCUUUACCUUUGGCAAGCUCAAAUUCAUAUGUUGAGACAGAAAAGUCAAAAAUGGGGUACCGUGGACCACUGGAUGGAGAAAAGUCCUGCUAGGUUAUAGCAGACUCUUUCAAGAAAGAAAUAAAACUUGUUCUGUUAAGUAACUAAGAUUUUAGAAAUUAUCUGUUACCAUAACAUUGUCCAAUCUAUUUUAUUUUAUUUUAUUGAGACAGAGUUUCCCUCUGUUGCCCAGGCUGGAGUACAGUGGUGUGAUCUCAGCUCACUCCAACCUCUGCCUCCCAGGUUCAUGCAGUUCUCCUGCCUCAGCCUCCUGAGUAGAUGGGGUUACAGGGGCCUGCCACCAUGCCAUGGUAAAUGCAAGGAACAUUUUAUUCAACCGAACCCUGGUUUGUUCUUUAAUUUGACAGAAAUGUUACAAGACAGGCAACUUUUAUGUUGGCUUUGCAUUCCUAUUGGAUGAUGGUAGCCAUAUGGGAAGGGAUCAUUUCAUCUCUCCUGAAGCAAAGAGCACAGAAGAGCACACAAGUAGGUGUCUGGUAACAGCCCGUUAAUCAACUUGCUUGCUUCAUUUCCAUUUCAUCCCUAAAUAGAAUGUGAAAUGCCAUUUUAUGCCUGAAACAUAGCAGCACAAAUAUUUUCAUGGACUUAGUUCAAUGUAUCUCUUGAAAUGAGGGCCAAGUCAGUUGCUUUAAGGACACCCUCCCACAGCUUGACAGUGGCUCUGACCUGCUUUGUUCAGCUCACGUUAGCACAGACCUCAUUCCCCAGCACCUACAUUUAUGAAAGAUGGAUGAAAUAACUCCUGGUGCUUUCAUCCCAUCCUAAAAUUGUUGCUGCACUACACAAUAACUGUCUAGAGUUGCUUAUUCCUUUUCUUCUAUUAAUAAUACAUUAAACCUCAGUUUAAAAAAAAGCUCAGAGAAAAAAAAGGGAAAAUAAGAUGAUAAUGACUUCUUGACAGAUCUUGAAUGAAAGGCUUUAACAUAGCUUUAACUGAGUUUGACACACCAUUUUUAAUGUGCAAGUGCCUUCUGUUUCCCAAUCUCUUCAUACUUAAUUGAGAAGUCCCACUUAGGGAUGAGCAAAGAGUCUAAUGAACCUCCUCCCCCAAAAUUGUUAAUUCAAAAUAUCUGAUGUUGAUUAUGCAUUUUUUGGGUGAUAACUACUCUCCCUGUUGACGUCUGCAUAGAAAUGGGCUGAAUAACUGUGUUUUGUGAAUAGAAACCACACUGUUCAAAUUGGAAUGUUUUAUUAAUCACAGUUCUUAAAGAUAUUGAACAUUGGAGGGGGUAGAUCAGGGAAUUAAUAAUUCAUACUCAUGAAAUGUCCCUGAGAUGAGUAGCUGUUCUCUUUAUAAAUAUUACAAACCUCACAUACUCCCUUAGGUAAAGACACAAUAUUCAACACACAUAAUGAUGAACAACAACAAAACAGCAUUUUAAUUUGAAUCACAGUAGCCCUAACUACGGUUUGCUCAUCUUGUUAAUACAUAUCCCCUGGGGUUGUGUGAACUACGUGAUUAGUAGCCCCAAAUAAUAGAUGAUUACCCUGAGAUACAACAAUCGACCAUAUUUGGUCACUAUCAGUGAUUAAUGACAUAAAAUAGAAGAGAUAAUCCAUAUGCAUGGAGGACUUGUGUAUCAUUUUAGUAUCAUGUCUAAUACUUCCUGCACAGCUAACCUAACACUUGAACUUAUUUUGGGAAUACAUAUUUAUGUAGGCUUGUUAAUCAUUUACCUAUAAAAAUACUAGGUAUUUCUGAAAUUUGGAAAGUACUUUGUGUUGCAUUUAUUCUUUAGUAAGAAUUAUCAUGGCAUACAUUAGCACUGUGAGAUUAAUUGCUCUGAUUAGCAAAUGUUAUCAGUGACAAACUAACAGAACAUUUUAUUUGCUGCAGGUGUCAUUAAUAUUAAAAAAAUGAAAGGGAAGG
ensembl:lncRNA